rnacentral:lncRNA from 1 species
UUUACAUUCCUUAUGUAAUAAUUCAAGAUACCCAAUAGGGCUAUAGGAAUGACCUUUCUAAAAGAACAACUAAUAAUCAAAGAAAUAAAUGAAAAGUAAACAAACUGAACGUCUUACUCGCAACUCUCUUGUGGAUUGGGCUCUGGAUCUUGGUCAUGUUGAUCUGAAAUGGCUAAUUGAAAGAGUGAGCUACAUUAGCCCAAUAAGAAUAUCACACUACUCACUGACACAUAAAUGAAGGUUGGUAGAAAUUAUAAAAACAACUAAUGGAGCUCUUAAUUUAAGUAAAAUUCAUUUAUCAUAAAUAAAAUCAUUUACUGCAUGCUUACUGUAACGAGAU